rnacentral:lncRNA from 1 species
UCUGAGCCCUUAGAGGGUUAAGUUUUUGUAUUUUUCAGUUUUUAUGUUUAUUUCUAUUUGUAUUUUCGGAUUUUGUAUCUUGACUUUGGUGUUGUACUAUUGGGGUGUUUUGUCCCCCAUGAACAAAUUUAUAUUUUCAGUUAAUGUUAUUUAUUUAUGUUUUUAAUUUUGUUUGUUUAAUAAAUUUUUGGGUGAUUAAGUGGCAAACCUUCUAGAUUGGUUGCUCCUCAAGAAGUACCCAAUGAAGGUGCAUCCGAGCUUGGAUGGCAAUGAUAAGAAUAAACAAGUGAAUGAAGCUAAGGUACAUGGUUACCUCCG